rnacentral:misc_RNA from 1 species
GAAAUGCGAUACUUGGUGUGAAUUGCAGAAUCCCGUGAACCAUCGAGUCUUUGAACGCAAGUUGCGCCCGAACCUUCCGUAUUACCGCGGCUGCUGGCACACCAAGU